rnacentral:rRNA from 1 species
GUCUAUGGCCAUACCACCCUGAAUGUGCCUGCUCUCAUCCCAUCUCGGAAGCUAAGCAGGGUUGGAACUUGGAUGGGAGGCCGCCUGGGAAUAUCGGAUACUGUAGACU